rnacentral:rRNA from 1 species
GAUGAACGCUGACAGAAUGCUUAACACAUGCAAGUCAACUUGAACUUCGGUUUGGGUGGCGGACGGGUGAGUAACGCGUAAAGAACUUGCCUCACAGAUAGGGACAACAUUUGGAAACGAAUGCUAAUACCUGAUAUUAUGAUUAUAUGGCAUCGUAUAAUUAUGAAAGCUAUACGCGCUGUGAGAGAGCUUUGCGUCCCAUUAGCUAGUUGGAGAGGUAACGGCUCACCAAGGCGAUGAUGGGUAGCCGGCCUGAGAGGGUGAUCGGCCACAAGGGGACUGAGACACGGCCCUUACUCCUACGGGAGGCAGCAGUGGGGAAUAUUGGACAAUGGACCAAGAGUCUGAUCCAGCAAUUCUGUGUGCACGAUGAAGUUUUUCGGAAUGUAAAGUGCUUUCAGUUGGGAAGAAAAAAAUGACGGUACCAACAGAAGAAGUGACGGCUAAAUACGUG